UACGGAGGGUGCAAACGUUGCUCGGAAUCAUUGGGCGUAAAGCGCACGUAGGCAGACCGCUAAGUCGGAUGUGAAAGCCCUCGGCUUAACCGAGGAAGUGCAUUCGAAACUGACGGUCUUGAGUAUGGAAGAGGGUCGCGGAAUUCCCGGUGUAGAGGUGAAAUUCGUAGAUAUCGGGAGGAACACCAGUGGCGAAGGCGGCGACCUGGGCCAAUACUGACGCUGAGGUGCGAAAGCGUGGGGAGCAAACAGG
rnacentral:rRNA from 1 species